rnacentral:misc_RNA from 1 species
AAGUCGUAACAAGGUUUCCGUAGGUGAACCUGCGGAAGGAUCAUUAAUAAACCUAGUCGUUCGCGUACAUAGGGGCAACCCUCGCGUGAUGUCAGCAAUACCUAGGUAACCCUUGAAUAAACUACCCUUGUUGCUUUGGCGGGCCGCCGUCUCGGCCAGCGGCUUCGGCUGCUGCGCGCCCGCCAGAGGACCACAACUCUUGUUUUUAGUGAUGUCUGAGUACUAUAUAAUAGUUAAAACUUUCAACAACGGAUCUCUUGGUUCUG